rnacentral:rRNA from 1 species
UACGUAGGGGGCAAGCGUUGUCCGGAAUUAUUGGGCGUAAAGAGCUCGUAUGCGGUUCGUCGCGUCGGCUGUGAAAACCCGGAGCUCAACUCCGGGCCUGCAGUCGAUACGGGCGGACUUGAGUGUUGCAGGGGAGACUGGAAUUCCUGGUGUAGCGGUGAAAUGCGCAGAUAUCAGGAGGAACACCGGUGGCGAAGGCGGGUCUCUGGGCAACUACUGACGCUGAGGAGCGAAAGCGUGGGGAGCGAACAGG